GGGCAGAAAAUAUGAAGAGAAAACUUCACUAGUAACAUGCAACCAGUAAAGUUGUAUACCCUAGGCUCUAGAACAUCGGAAAAGAGGGGAGAGAGGCUUACCGGUCGGAAUGAAGAAGUGAUUGGUUUGAAUUGAAGCUCUCUAUGCCGGGAAUGAUUUGGCAGCACCCAACCAAGAAUUGAAAGGUUCAAUGAGCUGGAAAUGUAAAAAGAAGGUAGAGCAAAGUUAAGGAAAUGAGUUCUAGAGAGAGAAUGGGAAGUUAGCUAAUGAACUCCGAUUUUUGAAAAGGCCUCUCCAAAGUCAGGUUGUCCCUAGCUUUAUGAACCUGGCUGCCUCACAUAAGGCCCAAUAACU
rnacentral:lncRNA from 1 species